GACGAACGCUGGCGGCGUGCUUAACACAUGCAAGUCGAGCGAUGAAGCUCCUUCGGGAGUGGAUUAGCGGCGGACGGGUGAGUAACACGUGGGUAACCUGCCUCAUAGAGGGGAAUAGCCUUUCGAAAGGAAGAUUAAUACCGCAUAAGAUUGUAGUGCCGCAUGGCAUAGCAAUUAAAGGAGUAAUCCGCUAUGAGAUGGACCCGCGUCGCAUUAGCUAGUUGGUGAGGUAACGGCUCACCAAGGCGACGAUGCGUAGCCGACCUGAGAGGGUGGUCGGCCACAUUGGGACGGAGACACGGCCCAGACUCCUACGGGAGGCAGCAGUGGGGAAUAUUGCACAAUGGGGGAAACCCUGAUGCAGCAACGCCGCGUGAGUGAUGACGGUCUUCGGAUUGUAAAACUCUGUCUUCAGGGACGAUAAUGACGGUACCUGAGGAGGAAGCCACGGCUAACUACGUGCCAGCCGCCGCGGUAA
rnacentral:rRNA from 1 species